rnacentral:rRNA from 1 species
UACGGGGGGGGCAAGCGUUGUUCGGAAUUACUGGGCGUAAAGGGCUCGUAGGCGGCCAACUAAGUCAUACGUGAAAUCCCUCGGCUUAACCGGGGAACUGCGUCUGAUACUGGAUGGCUUGAGAUUGGGAGAGGGAUGCGGAAUUCCAGGUGUAGCGGUGAAAUGCGUAGAUAUCUGGAGGAACACCGGUGGCGAAGGCGGUCUCCUGGGGCAUUCUUGACGCUGAGGCGCGAAAGCUGGGGGAGCAAACGGG